rnacentral:rRNA from 1 species
GAUGGACGCUGGCGGCGUGCCUAAUACAUGCAAGUCGAGCGAACAGACGAGGAGCUUGCUCCUCUGACGUUAGCGGCGGACGGGUGAGUAACACGUGGAUAACCUACCUAUAAGACUGGGAUAACUUCGGGAAACCGGAGCUAAUACCGGAUAAUAUAUUGAACCGCAUGGUUCAAUAGUGAAAGACGGUUUUGCUGUCACUUAUAGAUGGAUCCGCGCCGCAUUAGCUAGUUGGUAAGGUAACGGCCUACCAAGGCAACGAUGCGUAGCCGACCUGAGAGGGUGAUCGGCCACACUGGAACUGAGACACGGUCCAGACUCCUACGGGAGGCAGCAGUAGGGAAUCUUCCGCAAAGGGCGAAAGCCUGACGGAGCAACGCCGCGUGAGUGAUGAAGGUCUUCGGAUCGUAAAACUCUGUUAUUAGGGAAGAACAAAUGUGUAAGUAACUAUGCACGUCUUGACGGUACCUAAUCAGAAAGCCACGGCUAACUACGUG